rnacentral:tRNA from 1 species
GCCUGGGUGGCUUAGUUGGUCAAGCGUCUGACUCAAUUUUGGCUCAGGUCAUGAUCUCAGGGUUUAUGAGUUCAAGCCCCAUGUCAGGCU